rnacentral:rRNA from 1 species
AGCGAACGCUGGCGGCAGGCUUAACACAUGCAAGUCGAGCGGGCACUUUCGGGUGUCCGCGGCGGACGGGUGAGUAACGCGUGGGAACGUGCCCUCUGGUUCGGAAUAACUCAGGGAAACUUGAGCUAAUACCGGAUACGCCCUUUUGGGGAAAGGCUUGCUGCCGGAGGAUCGGCCCGCGUCUGAUUAGCUAGUUGGUGAGGUAACGGCUCACCAAGGCGACGAUCAGUAGCUGGUCUGAGAGGAUGAUCAGCCACACUGGGACUGAGACACGGCCCAGACUCCUACGGGAGGCAGCAGUGGGGAAUAUUGGACAAUGGGCGCAAGCCUGAUCCAGCCAUGUCGCGUGAGUGAUGAAGGCCUUAGGGUUGUAAAGCUCUUUUAUCCGGGACGAUAAUGACGGUACCGGAGGAAUAAGCCCCGGCUAACUUCGUG